rnacentral:rRNA from 1 species
AACGAACGCUGGCGGCAGGCUUAACACAUGCAAGUCGAACGAGAUCUUCGGAUCUAGUGGCAGACGGGUGAGGAACACGUGGGAACAUUCCUUCCAGUUCGGAAUAACGUUGGGAAACUAACGCUAAUACCGGAUACGUCCUUCGGGAGAAAGAUUUAUCGCUGAAAGAUUGGCCCGCGUCUGAUUAGCUAGUUGGUGAGGUAACGGCUCACCAAGGCUACGAUCAGUAGCUGAUCUGAGAGGAUGAUCAGCCACAUUGGGACUGAGACACGGCCCAAACUCCUACGGGAGGCAGCAGUGGGGAAUAUUGGACAAUGGGCGCAAGCCUGAUCCAGCCAUGCCGCGUGAGUGAUGAAGGCCUUCGGGUUGUAAAGCUCUUUUGUCCGGGAAGAUAAUGACUGUACCGGAAGAAUAAGCCCCGGCAAACUUCGUGCCAGCAGCCGCCGUAA